rnacentral:rRNA from 1 species
UGGGGAAUAUUGGACAAUGGGCGCAAGCCUGAUCCAGCCAUGCCGCGUGAGUGAUGAAGGCCCUAGGGUUGUAAAGCUCUUUCAGUGGGGACGAUAAUGACGGUACCCACAGAAGAAGCCCCGGCUAACUUCGUGCCAGCAGCCGCGGUAAUACGAAGGGGGCUAGCGUUGUUCGGAAUUACUGGGCGUAAAGCGCACGUAGGCGGAUAUUUAAGUCGGGGGUGAAAUCCCGGGGCUCAACCCCGGAACUGCCUUCGAUACUGGGUAUCUUGAGUGUGGUAGAGGUGAGUGGAAUUGCGAGUGUAGAGGUGAAAUUCGUAGAUAUUCGCAGGAACACCAGUGGCGAAGGCGGCUCACUGGACCACAACUGACGCUGAGGUGCGAAAGCGUGGGGAGCAAACAGG